GCAUAUCAAUAAGCGGAGGAAAAGAAACCAACAGGGAUUGCCCCAGUAACGGCGAGUGAAGCGGCAACAGCUCAAAUUUGAAAUCUGGCCCUCGGGUCCGAGUUGUAAUUUGUAGAGGAUGCUUUUGGCGAGGUGCCUUCCGAGUUCCCUGGAACGGGACGCCAUAGAGGGUGAGAGCCCCGUCUGGUCGGACACCGAGCCUCUGUAAAGCUCCUUCAACGAGUCGAGUAGUUUGGGAAUGCUGCUCAAAAUGGGAGGUAUAUGUCUUCUAAAGCUAAAUAUUGGCCAGAGACCGAUAGCGCACAAGUAGAGUGAUCGAAAGAUGAAAAGCACUUUGAAAAGAGGGUUAAAAAGUACGUGAAAUUGUUGAAAGGGAAGCGCCUAUGACCAGACUUGCGCCCGGUGAAUCAUCCAGCGUUCUCGCUGGUGCACUUUGCCGGGCACAGGCCAGCAUCAGUUUGGCGCGGGGGAAAAAGGCUUCGGGAAUGUGGCUCCCUCGGGAGUGUUAUAGCCCGCUGCGUAAUACCCUGCGCCGGACUGAGGUACGCGCAUCGCAAGGAUGCUGGCGUAAUGGUCAUCAGCGACCCGUCUUGAAACACGGACCAAGGAGUCGUCUUCGUAUGCGAGUGUUCGGGUGUCAAACCCCUACGCGUAAUGAAAGUGAACGUAGGUGAGAGCUUCGGCGCAUCAUCGACCGAUCCUGAUGUUCUCGGAUGGAUUUGAGUAAGAGCAUACGGGGCCGGACCCGAAAGAAGGUGAACUAUGCCUGUAUAGGGUGAAGCCAGAGGAAACUCUGGUGGAGGCUCGCAGCGGUUCUGACGUGCGAAUCGAUCGUCAAAUAUGGGCAUGGGGGCGAAAGACUAAUCGAACCUUCUAGUAGCUGGUUUCCGCCGAAGUU
rnacentral:rRNA from 1 species